UUUUAGAUAUUUGCGUUAGCGAUAGCAGCGGCAUCCUCCUUUUUUUGCGAUGCAGCAAAAAACGGAGAUAUAGCGAAUAGCGCGACCUCAC
rnacentral:sRNA from 1 species